rnacentral:rRNA from 1 species
UCGAGAAUCUUGGUCAAUGCACGAAAGUGUGAACCAGCGACGCCGCGUGGAGGAUGAAGGCCCUCUGGGUUGUAAACUCCUUUUACGGGAGAAGAAUCAAUGACGGUAUCCCGUGAAUAAGCCACGGCUAACUACGUGCCAGCAGCCGCGGUAAUACGUAGGUGGCAAGCGUUGUCCGGAUUUACUGGGCGUAAAGCGAACGCAGGCGGACCUUUAAGUAGGAAGUGAAAGGUUGGAGCUCAACUCUAACACUGCUCCCUAUACUGGAGGUCUUGAGUAGCGGAGAGGAAAACGGAACGGCAGGUGUAGCGGUGAAAUGCGUUGAUAUCUGCCGGAACACCAAUGGCGAAAGCAGUUUUCUGGACGCAAACUGACGCUGAGGUUCGAAAGCCAAGGUAGC